UAGCUGCUAUCGAGCUCCAGCUACAAAUGGAUAAGACUUUGGUCUGAUUGUAUAGGAGUUUUUGAACUAAAAAAGGAGCAAUAGCUUCCCUCUUGUUUUAUCAAGAGGGCGUUAUUGCUCCUUUUUUUAUUUAGUAGUAUUUACCUUACACAGUUUCUUUAAAAAUAAGAAGGGGCUUUUCUAGUUUGGUUCGAUUAGCGUGUUUUAUCUUUGUAUUAAUUUCUAUUAUAGGUUUAUAUAUCCUUUUCCCAAUCGUUUAUGAUUAAUUUCUAUUAUAGGUUUAUAUAUCCUUUUCCCAAUCGUUUAUGAUUAAUUUCUAUUAUAGGUUUAUAUAUCCUUUUCCCAAUCGUUUAUGAAGUUUUAUUUCCAAUUCAAUUUCAAUCUAAAAUAGAUAAAAAUUAUAAUUUUUAUUAUUUAUUGCUUUUAUUUUAGAAAUAAGAAAGAAAUAAUAUGCUCUUUUUUUAUGUUAAUGGAAAAAUAAAAUAUAGUAACAGUAGAUAAUACUAGAUAAUAGGGGCGGAUGUAGCCAAGUGGAUCAAGGCAGUGGAUUUGUGAAU
rnacentral:misc_RNA from 1 species